ACUGCGAAUACCGGAGAAUGUUAUCACGGGAGACACACGGCGGGUGCUAACGUCCGUCGUGAAGAGGGAAACAACCCAGACCGCCAGCUAAGGUCCCAAAGUCAUGGUUAAGUGGGAAACGAUGUGGGAAGGCCCAGACAGCCAGGAUGUUGGCUUAGAAGCAGCCAUCAUUUAAAGAAAGCGUAAUAGCUCACUGGUCGAGUCGGCCUGCGCGGAAGAUGUAACGGGGCUAAACCAUGCACCGAAGCUGCGGCAGCGACGCUUAUGCGUUGUUGGGUAGGGGAGCGUUCUGUAAGCCUGUGAAGGUGUGCUGUGAGGCAUGCUGGAGGUAUCAGAAGUGCGAAUGCUGACAUAAGUAACGAUAAAGCGGGUGAAAAGCCCGCUCGCCGGAAGACCAAGGGUUCCUGUCCAACGUUAAUCGGGGCAGGGUGAGUCGACCCCUAAGGCGAGGCCGAAAGGCGUAGUCGAUGGGAAACAGGUUAAUAUUCCUGUACUUGGUGUUACUGCGAAGGGGGGACGGAGAAGGCUAUG
rnacentral:rRNA from 1 species